rnacentral:rRNA from 1 species
UGGGGAAUAUUGCACAAUGGGCGGAAGCCUGAUGCAGCGACGCCGCGUGGGGGAUGAAGGCCUUCGGGUUGUAAACUCCUUUCGACAGGGACGAAGCUUUUGUGACGGUACCUGUAUAAGAAGCACCGGCUAACUACGUGCCAGCAGCCGCGGUAAUACGUAGGGUGCGAGCGUUGUCCGGAAUUACUGGGCGUAAAGAGCUCGUAGGUGGUUUGUCGCGUCGUCUGUGAAAUUCCGGGGCUUAACUCCGGGCGUGCAGGCGAUACGGGCUGACUUGAGUGCUGUAGGGGAGACUGGAAUUCCUGGUGUAGCGGGGAAAUGCGCAGAUAUCAGGAGGAGCACCGAUGGCGAAGGCAGGUCUCUGGGCAGUAACUGACGCUGAGGAGCGAAAGCAUGGGUAGCGAACAGG